rnacentral:rRNA from 1 species
GAUGAACGCUGACAGAAUGCUUAACACAUGCAAGUCAACUUGAAUUUGGGUUUUUAACUUAGGUUUGGGUGGCGGACGGGUGAGUAACGCGUAAAGAACUUGCCUCACAGCUAGGGACAACAUUUGGAAACGAAUGCUAAUACCUAAUAUUAUGAUAAUAGGGCAUCCUAUAAUUAUGGAAGCUAUAAGCGCUGUGAGAGAGCUUUGCGUCCCAUUAGCUAGUUGGAGAGGUAACGGCUCACCAAGGCGAUGAUGGGUAGCCGGCCUGAGAGGGUGAUCGGCUACAAGGGGACUGAGACACGGCCCUUACUCCUACGGGAGGCAGCAGUGGGGAAUAUUGGACAAUGGACCAAGAGUCUGAUCCAGCAAUUCUGUGUGCACGAUGAAGUUUUUCGGAAUGUAAAGUGCUUUCAGUUGGGAAGAAAAAAAUGACGGUACCAACAGAAGAAGUGACGGCUAAAUACGUGCCAGCAGCCGCGGUAAUACGUAUGUCACGAGCGUUAUCCGGAUUUAUUGGGCGUAAAGCGCGUCUAGGUGGUUAUGUAAGUCUGAUGUGAAAAUGCAGGGCUCAACUCUGUAUUGCGUUGGAAACUGUAUAACUAGAGUACUGGAGAGGUAAGCGGAACUACAAGUGUAGAGGUGAAAUUCGUAGAUAUUUGUAGGAAUGCCGAUGGGGAAGCCAGCUUACUGGACAGAUACUGACGCUGAAGCGCGAAAGCGUGGGUAGCAAACAGG